CCAAUAGCGUAUAUUAAAGUUGUUGCAGUUAAAAAGCUCGUAGUUGAAUUUCGGGGUUAGUAGGUUAGUCAUGCCUCUGGUAUGUACUGGUCUCACUGAUUCCUCCUUCCUGAUGAGCCGUAAUGCCAUUAAUUUGGUGUUGCGGGGAAUUUGGACUGUUACUUUGAAAAAAUUAGCGUGUUUAAAGCAAGCUAACGCUUGAAUACAUUAGCAUGGGAUAAUGAAAUAGGACGUUCGAUCCUAUUUUGUUGGUUUCUAGGAUUGAAGUAAUGAUUAAUAGGGAUAGUUGGGGGCAUUAGUAUUCAAUUGUCAGAGGGGAAAUUCUUGGAUUUAUUGAAGACUAACUACUGCGAAAGCAUUUGCCAAGGAUGUUUUCAUCAAUCAAGAACGAAAGUUAGGGGAUCGAAGACGAUCAGAUACCGUCGUAGUCUUAACCAUAAACUAUGCCGACUAGGGAUCGGAUGAUGUUAAUUUUUUAAUGACUCAUUCGGCGCCUUACG
rnacentral:rRNA from 1 species